UACGAAGGGGGGCUAGCGUUGCUCGGAAUUACUGGGCGUAAAGCGCACGUAGGCGGCUUUCUAAGUCGGGGGGUGAAAUCCUGGAGCUCAACUCCGGAACUGCCUUUAAGACUGCAUCGCUUGAAUCCAGGAGAGGUGAGUGGAAUUCCGAGUGUAGAGGUGAAAUUCGUAGAUAUUCGGAAGAACACCAGUGGCGAAGGCGGCUCACUGGACUGGUAUUGACGCUGAGGUGCGAAAGCGUGGGGAGCAAACAGG
rnacentral:rRNA from 1 species